GCUCUUUUGGCCGAUUGGGGAGGCACUGAACUCAUAAUUCAGCUUUAGGCUGGUUCGAUUCCAGCAGGGAGCA
rnacentral:tRNA from 1 species